rnacentral:rRNA from 1 species
AUACGAAGGGGGCUAGCGUUGUUCGGAAUUACUGGGCGUAAAGCGCGCGUAGGCGGACUGAUCAGUUGGGGGUGAAAUCCCAGGGCUUAACCCUGGAACUGCCUCCAAUACCGUCAGUCUUGAGUUCGGGAGAGGUGAGUGGAAUUCCUAGUGUAGAGGUGAAAUUCGUAGAUAUUAGGAAGAACACCAGUGGCGAAGGCGGCUCACUGGCCCGAUACUGACGCUGAGGCGCGAAAGCGUGGGGAGCAAACAGGAUUAGAAACCCUUGUAGUCC